rnacentral:snoRNA from 1 species
UGGACCAAUGAUGAGAGUGAGCUAUGUACUAAGGGUGCGAGUAACCCAAUUCUGUGCAUCUGAGGCAUA